AAAUAGCUCAGGCGGUAGAGCGUGAGACUCUUAAUCUCAGGAUUGUGGGUUUCAACCCCACAUUGGACUA